rnacentral:rRNA from 1 species
UACGUAGGGUGCAAGCGUUGUCCGGAAUUAUUGGGCGUAAAGAGCUUGUAGGCGGUUUGUCGCGUCUGCUGUGAAAUUUCGGGGCUCAACCCCGAACUUGCAGUGGGUACGGGCAGACUAGAGUGUGGUAGGGGAGACUGGAAUUCCUGGUGUAGCGGUGAAAUGCGCAGAUAUCAGGAGGAACACCGAUGGCGAAGGCAGGUCUCUGGGACGGUACUGACGCUGAGACGCGAAAAGCGUGGGGGAGCGAAACAGG